UACGUAGGGUGCAAGCGUUAAUCGGAAUUACUGGGCGUAAAGCGUGCGCAGGCGGUUUUGUAAGUUUGUCGUGAAAUCCCCCGGGCUCAACCUGGGAAUUGCAUUUGUGACUGCCCGACUAGAGUGUGUCAGAGGGGGGGUAGAAUUCCACGUGUAGCAGUGAAAUGCGUAGAGAUGUGGAGGAAUACCGAUGGCGAAGGCAGCCCCCUGGGAUAACACUGACGCUCAUGCACGAAAGCGUGGGGAGCAAACAGG
rnacentral:rRNA from 1 species